UUUCCCCACAAGUUAGGGUUCUCUUUCUCAAUCUCACUCUCACGGUUUCUCAUUUCCAUUCUCACAUAGCAGUGAAGGCAACAAUCUCCAUAGGUUUUGCGAAGGCAACGAUCUAGCGGCGGCGAUCUCCGUCGGCGUUACCACGGUGGUUCUCCGGCGUGAGUUGUUGCUUCACAGAGUUUUUGGCACUCUUUUGCAAUUGGUGAAACCUGUCUAAGAGACCUACGCAUCAAUCAGCAGAAAAUACGGUACAGUGGUCCCAAAGAGUGCCAAUUCUCAAGCCAAAGGAAGGUGGAUUCUCCAUUGCCAAUUACUUUCUUAAUUAGGGCUUGUAGAUCUGUGAUUAUUCUCCUGAUCAACAUAGAAGCUUUGAUGGAACUAGUAACUCUUUGUGCUGGUCAUGGGUAGAGGAUAUUCUUGAGAGAGAGAGAGAGAGAGAGAGAGAGAGUAGCUGAUGAUGAUGCAUAAAUUACUACAUAAAGAUUGGUUUCUGAUGACGUUUAUUAGAAGCAUACUUGCAAAUCAAGAUCAAGUGUUGAAUUUUUUUUCUUGAACUGAUUCUUAGUUCUAGUUUUAAACCUAGUUGACUGAUAUUUUUUUUGUUGGACUUCGCGUUAGUUCAUUUUGGAAUUUGUUAUGAUGGUUUUUUUUAUUAUACUUAAUGGAUUAUUAUUAAAUUUGUUUGAUGGAUAUAUUUUCAUUUAUGAUAUAAAUUGUUUAGUGAAUUA